GUUUUUGUAAGCACUUGUGUGCUGCUCUUAUGACAAGGUUUUCCCCUCAAAUGAGAAGGUUCAUAGCAUGUUUUUGCAGGCACUUGUGUGCUGCUCUUAUGACAAGGCUUUUCCUCAAAUAAGGAACUUCUGAUGAAGAUACAUGUGAAACAGACUAUCAUCUAGGGAGUCUGUCAAGUUCUUCAAAUUCUUCAGUUUCCAGUCUUUGAUCAAGCUACAAGAAAGUCUUCAAGUCUUCAUUUAAACUUUAAGACUCCAGGGGUUUCAGCAAACUGGCACCAGCAGCUUCAUAUUAGUUUGUUUAUAUUACCAGUGUUUGCUCUAUUGCACCAUUGUUUCUCUGAGAGUGUGUUUUUGCCAUUGGAGGGUUUGUUAUAGUUUACAUUGUUGUAUUUUGUUGCUGCUUAUCUCUGGAUGCCUUUAUUUUGAGAUCAUAUAUACAGUAUUUCUUCAUUCUACACUGUGCCCUUGCUUUUUUUUAAUACCUUGCCUAUUUCACAUGGGUUCUCUUCAUUUGUUUGUUUCUGUGCCUGUGACCCUGUUUUUUCAUGUAGAUUUAAUGCACCAACAAAAUAUAGUUAAUGAUAUUCAAUCAA